rnacentral:rRNA from 1 species
UGGUGGCGAGUGGCGAACGGGUGAGUAAUAUAUCGGAACGUACCCUAGAGUGGGGGAUAACGCAGCGAAAGUUGCGCUAAUACCGCAUACGAUCUACGGAUGAAAGUGGGGGAUCGCAAGACCUCAUGCUCAUGGAGCGGCCGAUAUCUGAUUAGCUAGUUGGUAGGGUAAAAGCCCACCAAGGCUUCGAUCAGUAGCUGGUCUGAGAGGACGACCAGCCACACUGGAACUGAGACACGGUCCAGACUCCUACGGGAGGCAGCAGUGGGGAAUUUUGGACAAUGGGCGCAAGCCUGAUCCAGCAAUGCCGCGUGAGUGAAGAAGGCCUUCGGGUUGUAAAGCUCUUUUGUCAGGGAAGAAACGGUGGACUCUAAUACAGAUCACUAAUGACGGUACCUGAAGAAUAAGCACCGGCUAACUACGUGUCAGCAGCCGCGGUAAUACGUAGGGUGCAAGCGUUAAUCGGAAUUACUGGGCGUAAAGCGUGCGCAGGCGGUUUGGUAAGACAGAUGUGAAAUCCCCGGGCUCAACCUGGGAAUUGCAUUUGUGACUGCCCGACUAGAGUGUGUCAGAGGGGGGUAGAAUUCCACGUGUAGCAGUGAAAUGCGUAGAGAUGUGGAGGAAUACCGAUGGCGAAGGCAGCCCCCUGGGAUAACACUGACGCUCAUGCACGAAAGCGUGGGGAGCAAACAGGAUUAGAUACCCUGGUAGUCCACGCCCUAAACGAUGUCUACUAGUUGUUGGGUCUUAAUUGACUUAGUAACGCAGCUAACGCGUGAAGUAGACCGCCUGGGGAGUACGGUCGCAAGAUUA